rnacentral:misc_RNA from 1 species
UAUAACUCUAAAGUAUCUGUUAUGGCUAGUAUUUCACCCUGAAGUCACAAAUUGUGAUAAAUCACAAUCGGUGAAUUCUUUACUUCAUUGCUAGUUUUUACACUAGCGAUGAGAAUCCAUAUUUUUUGAAAUUGUUAUGUCAAUGCAAUACACCAAUGAAAACUGUCAUCACAACAGUCUUUCGCGUUGUUAUAUUGUAUAUUUAUAAACUUUACUUCAUGUAUUAAAUUGUUAAAGAGCUCCAUACCCGAAGGCAUGGUAUAAAAACUUAAACAAAGCAACGAUUUAAAAUUGUCUUGUUUAAGUUUUUAAAUAAAAGAAUAUUUGGUGGAGCCAGGGAGGAUCGAACUCCCGACCUCUUGCGUGCAAGGCAAGCGCUCUCCCAGCUGAGCUAUGGCCCCUCACUUGUCUAUUUUUCAUUCUACGUGACUACAGUAAAAAUUGUAAUCCUGUAUUUUACAAGAAAGACUCAACUGAGCUUGUGUUAAAGUUAUUGAAAGUCUGACAUGGUUAAAACGCAAAAUUUGGUGGGUCUGGGUGGAUUUGAACCACCGACCUCACCCUUAUCAGGGGUGCGCUCUAACCAACUGAGCUACAGACCCAAAAUUACUUGUCUAUUUUUCAUUCUUCUACGUUAUUUUCUUCACUCAGUUUGCUAUAUAGCUAUUACCACACUCCUACCUUCACUAAAAAAAAUGCCUUGAAUAAUAAAAAAAUAUCCUACGUAAUUACUAUAAAAGUUAUCAUGAAAAGUGUAAUGUAAUUCUUCUUAUCUUUAUAAUCAUCAAACAACUUGUUGUGGACACUCAUACUCUUUAUUAAGGAGGUAA